rnacentral:tRNA from 1 species
UCCUCGGUAGUAUAGUGGUCAGUAUCCCCGCCUGUCACGCGGGAGACCGGGGUUCGAUUCCCGGCCGGGGAG